AUAUAUAUAUAUAUAUAUAUAUACACACACAUACAUAUGGACACACAAACUAAUAUAUAUAUAUAUAUAUAGACACACAAACUUAUAUAUAUAGACACACAAACUUUUAUAUAUAUAUAUAUAUAUAUAUAUAUAUAUAGAUAUAGAUAUAGAUAUAGAUAUAUACAUACAUAUGGACACACAAACUAAUAUAUAUAUAUAUAUAUAUAUAUAUAUAUAGACACACAAACUUAUAUAUAUAGACACACAAACUUUUAUAUAUAUAGAUAUAGAUAUAUACAUACAUAUGGACACACAAACUUAUAUAUAUAUAUAUAUAUAUAUAUAUAUAUAUAUAUAUAUAUAUAGACACACAAACUUAUAUAUAUAGACACACAAACUUAUAUAUAUAUAUAUAUAUAUCAUACACACACACAUAUAUAUACAUACACACACACACACAUACAUACAUACACAUAUACAUACAAAGAUGCUGUAAGAGCUGUUCAACAAUGGAACUCUCUGCAUCAAAGUAUUGUCAAAGCUCCUUCUUUAGAAACUCUGAAGCAGAUGCUGCAUGGCCAUCUGUCGGGAGGGUUUUGAUGGUGCCUUUAUGGCAAAAUAGGGUUGGACUGGAUGCCUUUUAGGGGUCCCUUCCAAUGCUAGGAUCCUAUGAUUCAAUGAGGCUGGAUGGCCAUCUGUCAGGAGGGCUUUGAUGGUGCUUUUCCAGCAUGGGACGGGAUGGCCUUUGGUGGUUCCUUCCAAUGCUAAGAUUCUAUUAUUCAAUAAGGGCCAUCUGUCGGGAGGGCUUUAAUUGUGUCUUUAUGGCAAAAUGGGGUUGGACUGGAUGCCCUUUUAGGGAUCCCUUCUAACUAUGGGAUUCUAUGAUUCAAUGAGGCUGGAUGGAUAUCUGUCAGGAGGGCUUUGAUGGUGCUUUUAUGGCAAAAUGGGAUUGGAUUGGAUGUCCUUUAGGGUUCCCUUCCCACAAUAGGAUUCUAUGAUUCAUUGAGGCUGGGUGGCCAUCUAUGGGGAGGGUUUUGAUGGUGCCUUUAUGGCAAAAUGGGGUUGGACUGGAUGGCCUUUAGAGGUCCCUUCCCACAAUAAGAUUCUACUGGCAACUCGGAUAGAUGCACACAAUCCACACUUGAGUCUCUCUCUGUGUCUGCAUUCGGGUCCAUCUACACUGUCGAGUUAACCCAGUUUGGCACCUCUUGGGCAGCUAUGGCUCCCUGCGACAGAGCGUCAAGACUCUUUAGCAGAGAAAAGUAAGACUACAAUUUCAAUGAUUCCAUAGCAUUGAGCCGUAAGGAUCCAAGUGGUAUCAAACUGCAUCAGUUCGACAGUGUAGACGCAGCCUUUUCCCCCUCCAGCCGGCCUGGUGUGAGUGAGCACAACACGCAAAAGCAGGAAUAGCUGGGCUAUUCUGCUAGAGAUGGACAUUUCUUCUUCUCUAUUUGGAAAUUACGGUCCAAAAAUGGGCCGAGGAGUUUGUCUCGCUUUUUGCAUUUUCUUCGUGCGACCGAAGAAUGGUAUAAUAAUUCAUGUCUGCUUGGUGGGAAAGAGAUGAUAAUAAAAUGGUCAAAGGUUUUCUUCCGAUUCUUGAUUUCGGGGAGAAGGGUCGGUAGGAAAGAGAGUGAAGGAAGAGAAGAAAGGGAGAAAGAUGGCAAAGAGAUGGAAAGAAGAGAAGGAAAAGAAGACAAAGGUAGGAAAAAGAAGGAAUGUAGGAAAGAGGGAAAGAAGAGAAGAAAAAGGAAGAAUGAACGGGAGGUAGGAAAGAGAGUGAAGGAAGAGAAGAAAGGGAGAAAAAGGUAUGUAGGAAAGAGAAGGAAGCAAAAGGAGAAAAAAUAUAGGUAGGAAAAAGAGAAGAGAAGAAAAGGAAGAAUAAAAGGUAGGUAGGAAAGAGAGAGAA